CCUGGGACUUGUAGUCGCAGUCUUGGGCAACUGGUGAGUGUCCUGUGCCGGGAAGUCUCCUACUCUUGAAGAUAACAAAGAAGAAACCACUUUAAGUCCACACCAUGGAUACCACAAAGGAGAAGAAUGACAAUUACAAAGAUGAUCUUCUGCUUAGGAUGGGACUUAAUGAUAAUAAAGCAGGAAUGGGAGGAUUAGAUAAAGAGAAAAUUAAUAAAAUUAUAAUGGAAGCCACAAAGGUGCUAAUAAAUAAGAGUUUGCCUGAAAGGUCAGAGGAGACUUUGAACUUGGAUUUUUCACCAAUGCUGAAACUGGUAGGACUUUAGAAACUCUCAGAAAUAGACUAAAUGCCUAUUGCAUGAAGAGAUCUGCGUGAGUCUUUUAGGGACUAGGAGAGGAAUGCUAUGCUUUGGAUCUACAUGUCCCCCCAAAGCCUCAUGCACUCAUAUAUGAGGCUUUUCAGAGCUAGCUGAUCUAGGGUGUGUGAUACUGGGAUGAAGGGUGUGUGGUACUAAAUCAGUCCACUGAUUGGGUUAGCAUACUCAUGUAUAUGGAUAAAGGAAAAGCCCACCCUGGGUGUAGGUGGCACCACCCAAAAGAUGUGUAGCCUGGAUGGGAUAAAGGUGAAAGGGAGACUUGCUUCACUGAUUGCUGCAUCCUGCCUGCCUUGCUGUGAACUGUUUCUUCUCUGCCACGUCCCUGUGCCAUGCUGCCCUGUACUGGGGCCAGCUGACUCCAGUGAACUGAAACCUCUACAAACUGUGAAGUGAAAUAAACCUCUCCUCCUUUAUCUUGUGGAUGUUGAGUAUUUGGUCCCAGCAACAAGAAAAGAAACAAAGACACAUAAUUAGCAAAUAUUUUUUUUCCAUUAAGUUUGAAUAAGAUCACUCAAAAGAAGAAAGCUACUCUUCUAAACUGGAAGACUUGCAAUAUUUCUUGAAAAAGCAAGACUCCACUGCCACUAAAGGAAGCAUACAAAUCUGACAUGCUCCUAAUAUUUGGGCUAAAAGUGAAGUUUCAUUCUUUAGUCAAACAGGCAGCUCAAUGGUCAUUAACUCUUUUCUCAUUGUUUUCUGAUAAGUUUUUCUUCUUCAACCCAGCCAGUGAACCACAGCACCCCAAGGUAGUCGGAGAGCACAUAAUCCCCUGUAGGUAAGGUCUACAGCCCCUUCCAGCUGGAAGGAGCUAUGAAAGACAGACUUCCACUCCCUCAACACUCCAUAAAGAAUUAUGAGGAUUUGUGCCUUUCAGGGGAAAUGAGACAGGCAAUCAGGUUGUGACAAAGCUGGCUGGGGCAGCUGACAUGACCUGUUAACUACAGGAUCCUAGAACACACGCACAGAACAUUUUCCAAACCUCUGGAUGUGGACUUCUCAUGAGAAUGCAAGCAAGUUUUCAAUAGGAUGGCCUGGACCUGACAUCAGCCUGAGACGUGAGAUUCCAUCACCUCUCAGGCCUAUCUCUUAGAACUUGUAUACAGAAUUUCUUGUGGGUUUCUUUAGAUUGGGACAGCACAAAACAUCACAAACACCAAGGAGAGCUUCCUAUUAUGGCUUUCUUCACAAAAGCCCACCCUGUGUCCUUCAGAGUGUGCUUUUAUUUUGCUUUUCCUCUUUUACUUGACCCAAGCGUGCUCUGCAGAACCAGUAGGGUCCAAAGCCAGAGAAAGUCGUGGGAGAUGAAGAAUAAAAAGAAAGAUAAAUACCAAGAUUAAGCUUUAUAAUCUAGUGUGCUGUGAAUUUAUAGUGUAGGAAUGUGGGGCAAGUAAUGCCACAUGGCCCACGAGGCCUAGGCUGGAUGUGACUAUCUCAUGAUCGGGGCAUGCACAGAAAAGGAACAAGUAUACAUAAUGUAACUAUCUCCUGGGGCUGUGCCAUCCAGGAUCUACAAUCUUAGUGUCUGUUUGACUCUCUGAUCUAUGGAGGAGAAAGGGAGUAGGGAUUAGGUGAAAGUCCAUCUUUAGGCUCAGCCCAUGGCAGUUUUUUGCUCAUUUUGUUCAAUUCUUUGUCUGAAGUGAGAAGAACCUGGAAUCCAACUCCAGAAGGAUACUGGAGCAACUCAAAGCCAGUAAUCUUUGUUUGGCAAGCCAAUUUCUAGAAGGAGCUACCUGGUAACACAGUACUCUCACAGGCUGAGGCAAGAAGAUUGCAGAAUUGCCCAACCUGGGCAAAUUAGUGACUUAGUCGGACCCUGUGUCAAAUUAAAAAAUAAAAAGCACCAGGAAUGUAGCUUAGUAUGAAGGGCCUGGGUUCAACUACCAGUGUGGCCCACAUACCUGUGCACAUGCGCAUGUGCACACACACAGCAAACACUUGCUUUCCCACUCUAGAAAACUUUCUUCCAAUUGUACCCUCUUCCCUCAAAAAUAAUGACUAUUAUUUUUAUGAUUUCUUUUCAGUUUUAUCACCUAAGCAUGUAUCCUCACUACACACUACAGGUUUGGCUGUUUCUUUUUUCUUUGUACUGGAGACUGAACGCAGAACCUUGCACUUGUGAGGCAGGUGCCGGAACCACUGAGUUAAAUCCCCAGCCCUUCUUUUGGGUUGUUUUGAUAUGUCUUAGGUUGUAUUUUUAAUGCAAAGAACUUCAUAGUCCUUUUUUUCCACUUGGAAUUUGUUUAUUGAAGAAACCAAGUCUGGGUGUAGUAGCAUGCAUCUGUAAUCCCAGCACUUGAAGGAGUGACUUGAGGUUGAGGCCAGCCUGGGCUACAUAGUGAGUUCAAGGCCAACCUGAACUACAUAGCAAGACCCUGUCACAAAAGCAAAAAACAAAAGAGAAACUCAAUCAAUUAUCCUAGCAUUUCCUAUUACCUGAAUUUUAUUGAUUGCAUUCUGUGGAAUAAUUUAACAUUUUUUUCAGUCUUUUGUGCAUACUGUAAAUUGAUUACUAGAUCGUAUUCAGGUCAAAAAUCUGUCUCCUUUCAACAAGAGUACAACAACAAACAGAUGUAUCAAACCAAAAAAAGAUAUUUGCAAUGUCAAAGUAGGAGAGAAAUAAGAAUAAAACUAUAUCAUAUCUGGAAAUUCAUGUGACAAAAAUCCAUAAGAAAGUUUUAUAAACUCUGCUAAAAUAUAUAAAUGACUUGAAAAGCAGAUGCACAAUAUUCGUGGAGGUGACAGUUUGGCUGGGUAAGCUAAUGUGUGACUAAAAAUUCAUUCCAGUUUCUUUCAUGCUUUACCUCCAUGGGCUAUAAAUCUAGAAAGUUAAAUACUUAAUUUCCCAGAUCUAUUUGCAGUUAGGUUUCUAGAAGUGAAUUAUUUCUACCAAAAGGUACAUUUAAGGAAGAAAUGGAAGGUGAAUUUGAAGUUAAAAUAACAUGUUGCUUUAUUUAUUUGUUUCAGCUUUUGUUUUGUUUUUGCUGGCAAGCAUGCUCACAAAGAUGGCAUUAUUUACUGCAGCCCCCCAGUCAUUAGCUCUGUGGAUACUGAGUGUUGCUACUGUAUCCUGUUGAUUUCUGAAUUGUACCUACUGUUGUGUACUACUAACAUCAUUCAUUCCAGCUGUGAGGGCCUGAUUCUCUGUCCUCCUAAUGGGUAGCAGUGGUAGCAGCUCCUAAGACAGUCCAGUUCUGCAAUAGUCUCCUGGGACUCACUUAUGAGAUCCUUGUCCUAAGGACACUUCUCUAGCCCUUUCAGCACCUUUUAAAAAGUAUCAAUUCCUUAUAAAGUAUUGAAUCAUUAUAUAUUUCAAGUAGCAGAUCUAGUUCCUGUAACUGAACACUCACACAAUGAUUGGUAAAGAUAUAAAAGCUUCCCAAAUAUAUAUAAUCUUAAUAAAAAUUUUAAAUACUUGAACAAAACUCCAAAUGUACAUGCAAUUGAAAAAGGAAAGAAAGAAUUUAAAGUAAGUAUUUUGGCUCUUGCUGAAACCGACUCAAGUAGAACUCAGAGAUGAAAACAAUGCAUGGACUUUGAUUAGGUCAUUAAUUUAUAAACCAAGGAGGGCAAACUAGUUUCACCUUUCUUGCCUUCUCUAUUGAUAAAGGCCAUCUUGAGUGCUGAAUAAAUGAUUCUCAGGCUGUUCAAGCUCAGCAGUAAAGAGUGGGAGCGAAUUAUUGGCCCUGGCUGCAGACGCUGAAAGCACAUGGGAAAUGACAUUCUUCAGCUAAGCUUGCAAAAAAGCAAAAGAGGAUGUGAACACUUCAGGAAAAGUAUGAUGAGAGAAUAGACACUUAGAAGAACGCUUGGGCCUGAAUUGAAGAUACAGUUUUGACAUCUAAAAUGUGCAUCGCCUCUCCUCUUUAAUGGCAGAGAAUCCUUAAACCCAGGGAGAAUAUGAAUUAUGGUCAUAAGAAAUCAUGAUUAUGGCUGUACAGGAGAUAUUAAAGAUAAAGCAGCCCUUUUCAUUUUAUUGUAAAGAAAUAUCUGAUGGUGAUUUAUACAGAAAAAGAGUGGUAUUUAGCUUGUUCUUCAGGAAAUCAAAGAUGAACAUCCACUGCUGAUCUUCUUGCUGGGACAGCCCUGGGAUGGUGCAGAGUGUCACAUGAAAACAACCAGAAAGCACAACUGCAGGUGUGUCUUUUUGGUCUCCUCUCUCUUCUGUGGAGUCACCAGGAUUCCAACACAGGAGCUUUACUCUGAUGAGUUCAUCUAAUCCCAGAGGUCUCAUCUCUAAACUCCACAGUCAGAUUAAGUUUACAUCACCUUAAUGCCUCACGAUAUAUCUAAAUUUCCACACAUGA